UUUCUUUUACAACAAUUUCAACAAUUUAGAUCGGGUUCAAGCUAUAUUCCUCCUGGUAUUGGUGAUGAUGCUAAUGACGAUGAUGAUGUCGAUGAUGAUGCCGCCGAUGAUGUUGAUGAUGAUGCAUGAGUGUUUGGUUGGUAGGUGAAGAUGAUGGUGGUAUUGAUGUAAAAAUAUGUAGAAGAAGGAUUUGGACUGAGAAGGAUCUCCAUAAGAUUAUCUUCAACUCUAUCUUUUUCAUGUUCUUGUAUGAUAUUGGAAUUUGGAUACUAUGACAUGUUUGUUGUAACUUUAUUGUAGUGUUUGGUUUAGGGUGUUAGUUGUAGUUGUAUAUUGUUGUAGUUUGUAUUGUUGGAUGAUGAUGUGUUGUAUUGUUAGUUUUAUGCUCUUAGUUUAGGUUGUAUAUGGAACAACAUGUUUUAAUGGUGCAUGUGUUUGGGUUUA